GUAGUCUCGCACAGAUGCAUAUCAAUAAGCGGAGGAAAAGAAACUAACAAGGAUUCCCCUAGUAACGGCGAGUGAAGCGGGAAGAGCUCAAAUUUGAAAUCUUAAAGGGUUUCCCUUUACGAAUUGUAGUUUAAAGAAGUGUUUUCUGUUGAGGUUUUGGUAAAAGCUCUUUGGAAUAGGACAUCAUAGAGGGUGAGAAUCCCGUAUUUGACCUUUACUUUCAACUUUGUGAUACACUUUCAAAGAGUCGGAUUGUUUGGGAAUGCAGUCCAAAAUGGGUGGUAAAUUUCAUCUAAAGCUAAAUAUUGGCGAGAGACCGAUAGCGAACAAGUACCGUGAGGGAAAGAUGAAAAGAACUUUGAAAAGAGAGUUAAACAGUACGUGAAAUUGUCAAAAGGGAAGCGUUUGACACCAGUGUUGUUUUUCCGAAAAUCAAUUAAAGAACUGUUUAUGCUAAGCUGUUUAGACUUUAUCAGCUAACUGUUUAGUUUUGAGCUUUUCUUUAAUGCACUUUUCAGUUAACAAGUCAACAUCAAUUUCUUUUGCUGUAAAAAAGCUUGAGGAAGGUGGCUUGAGAUUCGUCUUAAGUGUUUAUAGCCUCUUGCCUAUGCAGUCGGAGAGAUUGAGGUCUGCAGCGUAGAUCCUUCGGGGCUAAAUGCAUUUGUGCUAAGUUAUAGCAUUUUAUAGACAACUUGUUGACUAUGAUUUGUCUUGUAGCUUACUCGCUUAUGUUAUUUUACCUACGCUUAGGAUGUUGAGUAGCGACAUACGCAC
rnacentral:rRNA from 1 species